UGCCUUGAACUGUUAUUAAGCAGUAUUUGUUAACUAUUUCUUUUUUUUUUAUUUCUACAAUACAUUGAAAACCACACAACAGUGACAGAGCCCACCACCACCACCACACCCAGUACCACUACACCUAUAACCACACCUACCACAAUUAUAACCACAUCUAAUACAAAUACCGCCAGCCCUAUAAACACAAACUCACCUACAACUGCAACUACGCUUGCAAUUACUGUUUCUUCAAAAGAUACGACACAAACAACUGAACCUAAAACUGUGGUUACCACAAACUCACCUACUACUGCAACAACGCUUCCAACUACUGUUUCUACAACAGAAACGACACAAAAAACUGAACCUUCAACUGAGAUUACGACAAACUCACCUACUACUGCAACUACACUUCCAACUACUGUUUCUUCAAAAGAAACGACACAAACAACUGAAACUACAACUGAGAUUACGACAAACUCACCUACCACUGCAACUACACUUCCAACUACUGUCUCUUCAACAGAAACGACACAAACAACUGAACCUACGACUGUGGUUACGACAAACUCACCUGCCACUGCAACGACACUUCCAACUACAGUCUCUACAACAGAAACGACACAAACAACUGAACCUACAACUGUGGUUACGACAAACUCACCUACCACUGCAACUACACUUCCAACUACUGUUUCUUCAACAGAAACGACACAAACAACUGAACCUAAAACUGUGGUUACGACAAACUCACCUACUACUGCAACAAUGCUUCAAACUGCUGUCUCUACAAGAGAAGCGACACAAACAACUGAACCUACAACUGUGGUUACGACAAAUUCACCUACUACUGCAACAACGCUUCGAACUACUGUCUCUUCAACAGAAACGACACAAACAACUGAACCUACAACUGAGAUUACGACAAACUCUCCUACUACUGCAACUACACUUCCAACUUCUGUCUCUUCAACAGAAACGACACAGACAACUGAACCUACAUCUGAGAUCACGACAAACUCUCCUACUACUGCAACGACACUUCCAACUACAGUCUCUACAACAGAAACGACACAAACAACUGAACCUACAACUGUGCUUACGACAAACUCACCUACGUCUGCAACAACUCUUCUAACUACAGUCUCUACAACAGAAAUCCAAACAACUGAACCUACAACUGUGGUUACUCCAAACUCACCUACAACUGCAACAACGCUUCCAACUACCAUCUCUUCAACGGAAACGACACAAACACCUGAACAUACCACUGUGGUUACGACAAACUCACUUACUACUGCAACAAUGCUACCAACUACUGUUUCUUCAAAAGAAACGACACAAACAACUGAACCUUCAACUGAGAUUACGACAAACUCUCCUACUACUGCAACUACACUUCCAACUACUGUUUCUUCAAAAGAAACAACACAAACAACUGAACCUACAACUGUGGUUACGACAAACUCACCUACUACAACUACACUUCCAACUACUGUUUCUUCAACAGAAACGACACAGACAACUGAACCUACCACUGUGGUUACGACAAACUCUCCUACUACUGCAACUAUACUUCCAACUACUGUCUCUUCAACAGAAACGACACAAACAACUGAACCUACAACUAAGAUUACAACAAACUCACCUACUACUGCAACAACACUUCCAACUACUGUCUCUUCAACAGAAACGACACAAACAACUGAACCUACAACUGAGAUUACGACAAACUCUCCUACUACUGCAACUAUACUUCCAACUACUGUCUCUUCAACAGAAACGACACAGACAACUGAACCUACAACUAAGAUUACGACAAACUCUCCCACUACUGCAACUACACUUCCAACUACUGUUUCUUCAACAGAAACAACACAGACAACUGAACCUACCACUGAGAUUACGAC
rnacentral:lncRNA from 1 species